UUCUACGGUCUUUGAGAAGGUAUCAUGAGAUACAAAAAAUUUAGUGUAAAAUUUAGUAUCUUAUGAUACCUCAUAGUACCUAGGUACCAUAAGAUACUAAAUUUACAAUAGAAAAAAUGGUACCUUGUGAUACCUCCUCAAGGAACGUAAAA
rnacentral:pre_miRNA from 1 species